CAAGCUACUAAGGGCAAUCGGUGGAUGCCUAGGCACCAAGAGCCGAUGAAGGACGUUGUAACCUGCGAUAAGCCCCGGGGAGCUGGUAAACGAGCUUUGAUCCGGGGAUCUCCGAAUAGGGAAACCUCGAAAGAAACCGGAGUAAUGUCCGGCGACCUCUACCUGAAUAUAUAGGGUAGUUGGAGGGAACGUGGGGAAGUGAAACAUCUCAGUACCCACAGGAAAAGAAAACAACCGUGAUUCCGUAAGUAGUGGCGAGCGAACGCGGAUGAGGCCAAACCGUACAUGUGUGAUAGCUGACAGGCGUUGCAUGUGCGGUGUUGUGGGGCCAUUGGGACCGGGCUGUCGACUGGUCACACAGUAAGAAAUGAUCUCAGAAGUCGAAGUACUUUGGGAAAGUACGGCAUAGAAGGUAAUACCCCUGUAGACGUAAUGUGAUCACUGUGCAGUGUAACCCCAAGUAGCACCCAACCCCUGAAAUUGGGUGUGAAUCUGGCGGGACCACCCGUUAAGCCUAAAUACUCCUUGGUGACCGAUAGCGGACUAGUACCGUGAGGGAAAGGUGAAAAGUACCCCGGGAGGGGAGUGAAAUAGUACCUGAAACCGAUUGCCUACAAUCCGUCGGAGCGAUGAUCACUUGUGAUUGUUGUGACGGCGUGCCUUUUGAAGAAUGAGCCUGCGAGUUAGUGGUGCGUGGCGAGGUUAACCCGUGUGGGGAAGCCGUAGCGAAAGCGAGUCCGAAUAGGGCGAUUGAGUCGCGUGCUCUAGACCCGAAGCGGAGUGAUCUAUCCAUGGCCAGGGUGAAGCGACGGUAAGACGUCGUGGAGGCCCGAACCCACCAGGGUUAAAAACCUGGGGGAUGAGCUGUGGAUAGGGGUGAAAGGCCAAUCAAACUCCGUGAUAGCUGGUUCUCCCCGAAAUGCAUAUAGGUGCAGCGUCGCGUGUUUCUUGCCGGAGGUAGAGCACUGGAUAGUCUAGGGGGCCCACAAGCUUACCGAAAUUAGCCAAACUCCGAAUGCCGGUAAGUUUAAGCGCGGCAGUGAGACUGCGGGCGAUAAGGUUCGUAGUCGAGAGGGAAACAGCCCAGAACACCAGCUAAGGCCCCUAAGCGAUUGCUAAGUGGAAAAGGAUGUGGAGUUGCGGAGACAACCAGGAGGUUGGCUUGGAAGCAGCCACCCUUGAAAGAGUGCGUAAUAGCUCACUGGUCAAGUGAUUCUGCGCCGACAAUUUAGCGGGGCUCAAGCAAUCCGCCGAAGCUGUGUCAUUCACAUAUUAACCCGACUCCAUCUUUAUGGUGUGGUCCAGGUGUGUGGAUGGGUAGGGGAGCGUCGUGUGCGCGAGGAAGCGGCGGGGGGACCCAGCCGUGG
rnacentral:rRNA from 1 species